rnacentral:rRNA from 1 species
AUAUCAAUAAGCGGAGGAAAAGAAACUAACAAGGAUUCCCCUAGUAACUGCGAGUGAAGCGGGAAAAGCUCAAAUUUAAAAUCUGAGGGUCCCUGUGGCCUUCCGAGUUGUAAUCUAGAGAAGUGCUAUCCGCGCUGGACCGUGUACAAGUCUCCUGGAACGGAGCGUCAUAGAGGGUGAGAAUCCCGUCUUUGACACGGACUACCAGGGCUUAUGUGAUGUGCUCUCAAAGAGUCGAGUUGUUUGGGAAUGCAGCUCUAAAUGGGUGGUAAAUUCCAUCUAAAGCUAAAUAUUGGCGAGAGACCGAUAGCGAACAAGUACCGUGAGGGAAAGAUGAAAAGAACUUUGGAAAGAGAGUUAAACAGUAC